AACACUGGGUUAGUGUGAGAAAAUAUUCAACGUCUACAAACUAAUAUAAGUAUAAUAAUCUUGACCACAGGGAGGGAUCCUUUGCAAGAAUUUCAUCUGCCACGGAAACUUUUCAGCAGAGCGACACUCCGACGCUCACCAAGAACGGCCAGCUCACGCAGGUGACCUGUGACAAGGCCCCCCUUACUAAAAAUUAGAAAAUACAACCAGAUAGAAUCCAUCCCACAAUUAAUGCAUGAUGUGAGAAGAAAAUCUGCUGCUACCAAACGCCCACCCGCCCACAAUCACAGACUCAGAACACAGUGCUGCCUCUACAAUGGACACAACUGUCAUGGGAAAGGGCCAUUAAUGACUUAAUGUGUGUUACAGGGUUAAAAUUCUUUAUUUUGUAUAUAUUUUUUUAAAUGUUUUUUUCUUUUGUUUAUGUAAAUAUUUCAAAUAUGUCCCUAGCUUUUUGAUGCAUUUUGCUGCUAUGGCCAUAGUGUAGUAUGAAUAAAUAAAAGCUCUUUAAUCUUAAA